UAGCUUUCUUGAACUCUUGCUACCACCUUGAUCCGUGCUCAAUUGCUCAUUGGCUUUCAACAAGAACGAGUAGGAUUACACGUGGCAACACGCAGAACGCAUCCUAGUUUUAAGGCCAUCUACACAAGAUUCAGAGUAUUCUUUCCAAGCACAUAUGCAACUUCAUUGUUAGCUGCAGAAUCCUGAGUAUGCAUCUAAUAUUGCAGAGAAUGCAAGCACAUGAUGAUGUUAUUUGGU
rnacentral:lncRNA from 1 species